rnacentral:rRNA from 1 species
UACGGGGGGGGGCAAGCGUUGUUCGGAAUUACUGGGCGUAAAGGGCGCGUAGGUGGCCAACUAAGUCAGACGUGAAAUCCCUCGGCUUAACCGGGGAACUGCGUCUGAUACUGGAUGGCUUGAGUUUGGGAGAGGGACGCGGAAUUCCAGGUGUAGCGGUGAAAUGCGUAGAUAUCUGGAGGAACACCGGUGGCGAAGGCGGCGUCCUGGACCAAUGCUGACACUGAAACGCGAAAGCCAGGGGAGCAAACGG